UGGCAUUUGAGCUUAUAUUUUGUGAAAUAUGAAGAAAAUUUCAUGAGGGUAUAUAAAGACAAGGGUUUGAAGCGACUAUUAGGAUUUUUAAGAUAUCUCAAGAUCCGCAGUGAAUUUGCAGUUGAAAAUUGUUGUAGAAGUUAAUAAGAAUACAUGAGUACCUCAUGUAAAAUUUGAGUUUGUUUGGACGGUCGGAUUAGGAGAUAUAAGGUGUUGAAGUUCGGAAAAAUCUCCACAUAAGAAUAUACAAGGUUUUAGAAGAUUUUAUCAUAUUUUGGAUGUUGUUGGUUACUUGAGGCUUGUGUAUUUGGUGUAAUUUUUCAAAAAGGGAAAAUUUAUAUGUAAACUUAGGGCUUCUCUUAUUUUCAAGCUUCAUUGAGUAAUUAAUGACAGCUA
rnacentral:lncRNA from 1 species